UUCUUAUAUAACCAGACCAACCAUAUAUAUAUGAUCCCUAGCUAUUCAGUAUUAAUCACUGCCAAAGAUUGAAAGAGUUAUAGCUAGAUCGAAUCGAGGAUGGAGAGGAUCAGUGUUCUAGUUGUGGCAUUGGUUCUGUGCGUGAUGGCCUCUAAUGUGGAGCAGAGCUUUGCUGAGAUCGACUUCUACUGCAUGGAUGCUUGUUCCACAGGCUGUGUUGGUUCAUAUGUAAACAACGAGAGGCUUAUGUCAAGAUGUGUUCGCAAGUGCCAGAUUAGAUGUGGUCCUGAUUCUAAAGUUGAGGAAAAUUUUCAUUGAGAGGCACAUAAAAUUGGCUAGCAACUGAGCAAUCCUGCCAAGCCAUGAAUUAAUAAGCGGCAUAUAGUAUGUAAAAAUUGAAGCGAGCCCUAAUAACGU